rnacentral:rRNA from 1 species
AUGAACGCUGGCGGCGUGCCUAAUACAUGCAGGUCGAGCGAACAGACGAGGAGCUUGCUCCUCUGACGUUAGCGGCGGACGGGUGAGUAACACGUGGAUAACCUACCUAUAAGACUGGGAUAACUUCGGGAAACCGGAGCUAAUACCGGAUAAUAUAUUGAACCGCAUGGUUCAAUAGUGAAAGACGGUUUUGCUGUCACUUAUAGAUGGAUCCGCGCCGCAUUAGCUAGUUGGUAAGGUAACGGCUUACCGAGGCAACGAUGCGUAGCCGACCUGAGAGGGUGAUCGGCCACACUGGAACUGAGACACGGUCCAGACUCCUACGGGAGGCAGCAGUAGGGAAUCUUCCGCAAUGGGCGAAAGCCUGACGGAGCAACGCCGCGUGAGUGAUGAAGGUCUUCGGAUCGUAAAACUCUGUUAUUAGGGAAGAACAAAUGUGUAAGUAACUAUGCACGUCCUGACGGUACCUAAUCAGAAAGCCACGGCUAACUACGUG